rnacentral:rRNA from 1 species
GAUGAACGCUGGCGGCGUGCCUAAUACAUGCAAGUCGAGCGAACAGACGAGGAUCUUGCUCCUCUGACGUUAGCGGCGGACGGGUGAUUAACACGUGGAUAACCUACCUAUAAGACUGGGAUAACUUCGGGAAACCGGAUCUAAUACCGGAUAAUAUAUUGAACCGCAUGGUUCAAUAGUGAAAGAGGUUUUUGCUGUCACUUAGACAUAGAUCCGCGCCGCAUUAGCUAGUUGGUAAGGUAACGGCCUACCAAGGCGACGAUGCGUAGCCGACCUGAGAGGGUGAUCGGCCACACUGGAACUGAGACACGGUCCAGACUCCUACGGGAGGCAGCAGUAGGGAAUCUUGCACAAUGGGCGAAAGCCUGACGGAGCAACGCCGCGUGAGUGAUGAAGGUCUUCGGAUCGUAAAACUCUGUUAUUAGGGAAGAACAAAUGUGUAAGUAACUAUGCACGUCUUGACGGUACCUAAUCAGAAAGCCCCGGCUAACUACGUG